UACAGAGGUCCCAAGCGUUGUUCGGAUUCACUGGGCGUAAAGGGCUCGUAGGCGGUCUGUCGCGUCGGUCGUGAAAACUUGGGGCUUAACCCUGAGCUUGCGGUCGAUACGGGCAUGACUGGAGUUCGGCAGGGGAGACUGGAAUUCCUGGUGUAGCGGUGAAAUGCGCAGAUAUCAGGAGGAACACCGGUGGCGAAGGCGGGUCUCUGGGCCGAUACUGACGCUGAGGAGCGAAAGCGUGGGGAGCGAACAGG
rnacentral:rRNA from 1 species